rnacentral:rRNA from 1 species
GAUCCUGGCUCAGGAUGAACGCUAGCUACAGGCUUAACACAUGCAAGUCGAGGGGCAGCGAGAGGAAGCUUGCUUCCUUGUCGGCGACCGGCGCACGGGUGAGUAACGCGUAUCCAACCUUCCCUUAGUAGGGCAUAGCCCGGCGAAAGUCGGAUUAAUACCCUAUGUUUUCCAAUGAGGACAUCUGAGCUGGAACAAAGAUUUAUCGCUAAGGGAUGGGGAUGCGUCUGAUUAGGUAGUCGGCGGGGUAACGGCCCACCGAGCCUACGAUCAGUAGGGGUUCUGAGAGGAAGGUCCCCCACAUUGGUACUGAGACACGGACCAAACUCCUACGGGAGGCAGCAGUGAGGAAUAUUGGUCAAUGGGCGCGAGCCUGAACCAGCCAAGUAGCGUGCCAGGAUGACUGCCCUAUGGGUUGUAAACUGCUUUUAUACGGGGAUAAAGUGAGGUAUGCAUACCUUUUUGUAGGUACCGUAUGAAUAAGGACCGGCUAAUUCCGUGCCAGCCGCUGC